rnacentral:rRNA from 1 species
CCUACGGGGGACCGCAGUGGGGAAUAUUGCACACUGGGGGAAACCCUGAUGCAGCGACGCCGCGUGAGUGAAGAAGUAUUUCGGUAUGUACAGCUCUAUCAGCAGGGAAGAAAAUGACGGUACCUGAUUAAGAAGCCACGGCUAACUACGUGCCAGCAGCCGCGGUAAUACGUAGGGGGCCAGCGUUAUCCGGAUUUACUGGGUGUAAAGGGAGCGUAGACGGCAGCACAAGUCUGGAGUGAAAUGCCGGGGCUUAACCCCGGAACUGCUUUGGAAACUGUGCAGCUAGAGGGCAGGAGAGGUAAGUGGAAUUCCGAUGGUAGCGGUGAAAUGCGUAGAGAUUAGGAGGAACACCAGUGGCGAAGGCGGCUUACUGGACUGUAACUGACGUUGAGGCUCGAAAGCGUGGGGGGCAAACAGGAUUAGAUACCCUUGUAGUC